AACUUCAACCACAAAUGAUUUAGGUAUUAUUUGACAAUGUGUAUGUUGAACUUUGUUGAUUUCAAGUUAUGCUGAUUUGAAUUUGGAGUAAUGAGUAGGGACUGUUGUGCAGUUAUUUGUUGUGCGAGAACUGAUGCUCGUUACAAGUACUCUCAAAUACAUUAUCUCAGCCUUUAAAUAUUGAGGACGUAACAAACAUUUGAAAUUGGAUAUUUAUUUUGGCAAUAAUUAAACUUGAGUUUGAAAUUCCCGGGUUCAAGUUCCAAACUCGAGGUAAUUAGUAUGUUAGACAACGCCCUAUAUUGUAUUUUCUCUAUUUCAAGUUAUGCCCUGAUUGAAUAUUUGUAAUAAGUAGAAAAUGACUGUUUCGAAUUUGUUUUGUUUUGCGAGGACUAAUGCCAUUGGCUAUCGGGUUUUAACGGUCAACCUCAAAUUAUUUAGGUAUUAUUUGACAAGCUUUAUUUUGUACUUUGUUUAUUCAUGUUAUGCGAUUUUAAUUUGUAGUUAAAUAGUAGUGACUAUUUUGCAUAUGGUGUGCGAGAACUGAUGUUGUUACCAAGUACUCUCCAAAUACAUAUCUCCACGCCUUUAAAUAUUGAGGUACGGAACAACAUUGAAAUUGUAUAUUAUUUUGGACAAUAAUUAACUUGAGCUUGAAAGUUCCCGGGUUCAAUUUCAAACUCAAGUUAUUAGGUUAUGUUAGACAACGCUUAUAUUGUAUAUUUCUCUAUCAAGUUUGCUAAAUUUGAAUAUUUGGGUAAUAAGUAGUGAUGUUUUGCAUUUGUUUUUGUUUUUCGAGGACUAAUGACAUUGACUAUCGGGCUAAACCAAAACACAAAUUAUUUAGGUAUUAGGUUGAUAAUACUUUAUGUGGAACGUUGUUUAUUUAAGUUAGGCUGAUUUGAUUUUGAGUAAUGAGUAGUGACUGUUUGCAUUUAUGGGUGUGCGGAACUGAUGCUAUUACCAAGUACUCUCAAAUACAUACUCCCGCCUUUAAAAUAUUGAGGUACGUAACAAAAUUUGAAAUUGGAUAUUUAUUUUGGACAAUAAUUAACUUGAGCUUGAAAUUUCCGGGUUCAAUUUCAAACUCAAGUUAAUUAGGUUAUGUUAGCGACGGCCUUAUAUUGUAUUUUUCUAUUUCAAGUUAUGCUGAAAUUGAAUAUUGUGUAAUAUGUAGUGACUGUUUCGCAUUGUUUUGUUUUGCGAGAACUAAUGCAUUGACUAUCGGGUUAACGUCAACCUCAAAUUCUUUAGUUAUUUAUUUGACAAUGCUUUAUGUCGUACAUUGUUUAAUCAAGUUAGCUGAUUAAAUUUUGAGUAGUGGACGUUCGCAUUUAUUGUUGUGGUGCAGAACUGAUCCAUACCAAGUCUCUCAAAUACAUAUCUCCCCGCCUUUAAAUAUUGAGGUAGUAACAAACAUUUGAAAUUGUAUAUAUUUAUUUUGGACAAUAAUUACUGAGCUUGAAAUUUUCCGGGUUCAAUUUCAAACUCAAGUUAAUUAAGGUUAUGUUAGACAACGCCUUAUAUUUUAUUUUCUCUUUUCAGUUCUGCUGAUUUGAAUAUUUGUGUAAUAAGUAGUGCUUUUUUACCAUUUGUUUUUGUUUUUCGAGGACUAAUGCCAUGACUAUCGGGUUUAACGUCACCUCAGUUAUGUAGGUUAUAUUUGACAAUGAUUUAUGUUGAACUUUUUAUUCAAUUAUGUGAUUUGAAUUAUGAGUAAUGACAGUCGAGACUGUUUUUGGCAUUUAUGUGUUUGUUCAGAAUUUUGUAUGCUGUAACAAGUACUCUCAAAUACAUAUCCCCGCUUUAAAUAUUGAGGUUUCGUUACCACAUUUUAAAUUGUUAUUUAUUUUGGACAAUAAUUAAUUUGAUUUUUUUUUCUUGAAAUUUUUUUCCGGUUCAUUUCAAACUCAAGUUAAUUAGGUUAUGUUAGACAACUCCUUAUCUUGUAUUUUCUCUAUUUCAAGUUUGCGGAAUGAAAUAUUUGUGUAAUAAUUAGUGACUGUUUUCGCAGUUGUUUUGUUUUGCGCGGACUAAUGCCAUUAACUUCGGGUUUUAACGUCCACCUCCCAUUAUUUAGUAUUAUUUGACAAUGUUUAUGUUGUACUUUGUUUAUUUCAAGUUAUCUGAUUUGAAUUUUUGAGUAAUGAGUAGUGAUUGGUUUGCAUUUAUUGUGUUGUGCGAGAACUGAUGCUAUUACCAAUACUCUCAAUACAUAUCUCCACGCCUUUUAAAUAAUUGAGGACGUACAACAUUUGCAAUUGUCUAUUUUAAAUUUUGGAUCAAUAAUAACUUGAUUAUGAAAUUCCCGGGUUCCAAUUCAACUCAGUUACUUAGGUUAUGUUAGACACGCUUUCAUAUUGAUUUUCUCUAAUUUCAAGUUAUGCUAAUUUGAAUAUUUGUGUAAUAAGUAGUGACUGUUUUGUCCAUUUGUUUUUGUUUUUUUGUCCGAAGACUAAUGACAUUGACUAUCGGGCUAACUUCAACCACCAAAUUAUUU
rnacentral:lncRNA from 1 species